GGAAGGAGAAGCGGGGAGGGGAGAGGAAGAGAGAAAAGUUGGAGAGGGAGGGGAAGAAGACUCUAAAAUUAAAAAGAAAAAAUGGCCUGGCCGACUUUGCUUGUUCUCAUUAACCUUGAUGCUAUACCACGGGAAACAAACAAACCGAAAGGAAAAAAGAAAAGAAGAAAAAAAAUAGGGUGUGUACAAUUCUAGGAAAAAAAAAAAAAAAAGUUUCUUCCUUCUGAAAGGUGAGGGUUUAAAUUACUCCCAGGACAGCUGCUCUAUAUACCCAGCACUACCUUCUCAUGGGAAAGCCACCUCGUGUGCCGUGAAAACACAGAGACCACCGGAGGGCAAACAAAACCCGAGGAGGACAAGGAAGUGACCUGAAUUUGGCUUUUUCAGGAACCAUCAUCAAGGCCGAUUACCCUGAUGUUUCAGUGAACGCAUAGCCUUUGAUGCGAAGUACGUCUAAACAUGAGUGAGAUGUUGCUGAAACUCAUCCUUGAGUGGGGAAAAUAUUAUCUUCAGAUGAGAAGCCCUGGCCUGAAGGUCAAAGGCCAAAUCGUUUACCUGACUUCCCUGAAUUGCCACAAGCUAAACCACGGCUCUCCACCUACUUCAUCUCCCUCCUUUUCCUCCGCUCACCUCCGACACAAAGCCAGGUCCUUUCGUGCCUUAGCUCUUCCUCCAGCACGCGUGCAUGGCCGUCCGCCAGCUUCUGCAAGGAGUCCUUUCAGGAAAAUGCCAGACACAGGACCAACUUCAACUACAGAGGUCCUUCAUUAUCCACAAGGCAUUGGUUCCAGGACCCCCAGAGAUACCAACAGUGAUCCCAGGAGGCUCACUUCCCUUUACGUAACAUGCAGGAAUAUGGCCAGCCCUCUGGUUUCCACAUCUACUUGGAUUCAGAAGACUGACUAUGCUUCAAAAAGGCCAUGGGACCGCUUUUAUUUUAUUUAUUUAUUUAUUUAUUUUUUGUUGUUGUUGUUGUUAUUGUUUGUCUUUUUGCCAUUUCUUGGGCCGCUCCCGCGGCAUAUGGAGGUUCCCAGGCUAGGGGUCGAAUCGGAGCUGUAG
rnacentral:lncRNA from 1 species